rnacentral:rRNA from 1 species
CCUACGGGUGGCAGCAGUGAGGAAUAUUGGUCAAUGGACGAGAGUCUGAACCAGCCAAGUAGCGUGAAGGAUGACUGCCCUAUGGGUUGUAAACUUCUUUUAUAUGGGAAUAAAACGUUCCACGUGUGGGAUUUUGUAUGUACCAUAUGAAUAAGGAUCGGCUAACUCCGUGCCAGCAGCCGCGGUAAUACGGAGGAUCCGAGCUUUAUCCGGAUUUAUUGGGUUUAAAGGGAGCGUAGGUGGAUUGUUAAGUCAGUUGUGAAAGUUUGCGGCUCAACCGUAAAAUUGCAGUUGAAACUGGCAGUCUUGAGGACAGUAGAGGUGGGCGGAAUUCGUGGUGUAGCGGUGAAAUGCUUAGAUAUCACGAAGAACUCCGAUUGCGAAGGCAGUUCACUGGACUGCAACUGACACUGAGGCUCGAAAGUGUGGGUAUCAAACAGGAUUAGAUACCCUUGUAGUC